ensembl:snoRNA SNORA71 Small nucleolar RNA SNORA71
CCCUGCAUUUGAAAGUGAUCAUGGGCUGCCGGUGCCCUGGUCAUUGAUAGUGCAGGGAGAGGAAUCGCUGAAAGCAUUUCCCCGUGUUUGGAGGGCCCUCACCUGUCCCUUACAAACCCUGGAGCUUUCUCACA